rnacentral:rRNA from 1 species
UGAGGAAUAUUGCACAAUGGGCGCAAGCCUGAUGCAGCAACGCCGCGUGCGGGACGAAGGCCUUCGGGUCGUAAACCGCUUUUCUGGGGGAAGAGCAAGGACGGUACCUCAGGAAUAAGUCUCGGCUAACUACGUGCCAGCAGCCGCGGUAAAACGUAGGAGGCGAGCGUUAUCCGGAUUUACUGGGCGUAAAGCGCGUGCAGGCGGAUUGGAGAGUUGGAUGUGAAAGCUCCCGGCUUAACUGGGAGAGGUCGUUCAAUACUUCCAGUCUUGAGUGCAGUAGAGGGAAGUGGAAUUCCGGGUGUAGUGGUGAAAUGCGUAGAUAUCCGAGGAACACCAGUGGCGAAAGCGGCUUCCUGGACUGUAACUGACGCUCAGACGCGAAAGCUAGGGUAGCAAACG